AACGCAAAUUGCGCUCGAGGCUUCGGCCAAGAGCAUGUCUGCCUCAGCGUCGGGUUAAUACUCACAUUUGCACUCCAUCCAGAGUGCACAUGUGGAUCUGGCUGUCUCGGUUUAUUUUAAUUAAUUAACCGGGGCAGCUGAAGUGCAUAUGUCAAGGCAUGGACAGUUAAAUCGGGCCUAUACUGGGUAGGAAACUUGUAUGCUGUAUUGCUGUAGUAGAUGGAUUGGGUACUGUCUUUGGCACGAAGCAUUAGUAUCUGUUCAUACAGGUACAACCAAUACCAUUUACUCAACCUGAACUCAGGCAAGAUUACCCGCUGAACUUAA
rnacentral:misc_RNA from 1 species